GACGAACGCUGGCGGCGUGCUUAACACAUGCAAGUCGAACGGAAAGGCCCUGCUUUUGUGGGGUGCUCGUUUGGCGAACGGGUGAGUAACACGUGAGUAACCUGCCCUUGACUUUGGGAUAACUUCAGGAAACUGGGGCUCAUACCGGGUAGGAGCUCCUGCUGCAUGGUGGGGGUUGGAAAGUUUCGGCGGUUGUGGAUGGACUCGCGGCUUAUCAGCUUGUUUGUGGGGUAGUGGCUUACCAAGGCUUUGACGGGUAGCCGGCCUGAGAGGGGGACCGGCCACAAGGCGACUGAGAGAGGCCCCAGAAUGCAACGGGAGGCAGUAGUGGAGAAUAUUGCACAGUGAGCGGAAGCCUGAUGCAGCAACGCCGCGUUCGGGAUGACGGCCUUCGGGUUGUAAACCGCUUUCGCCUGUGACGAAGCGUGAGUGACGGUAACGGGUAAAGAAGCACCGGCUAACUACGUG
rnacentral:rRNA from 1 species